rnacentral:rRNA from 1 species
AUGAACGCUGGCGGCGUGCCUAAUACAUGCAAGUCGAGCGAACAGACGAGGAGCUUGCUCCUCUGACGUUAGCGGCGGACGGGUGAGCAACACGUGGAUAACCUACCUAUAAGACUGGGAUAACUUCGGGAAACCGGAGCUAAUACCGGAUAAUAUAUUGAACCGCAUGGUUCAAUAGUGAAAGACGGUUUUGCUGUCACUUAUAGAUGGAUCCGCGCCGCAUUAGCUAGUUGGUAAGGUAACGGCUUACCAAGGCAACGAUGCGUAGCCGACCUGAGAGGGUGAUCGGCCACACUGGAACUGAGACACGGUCCAGACUCCUACGGGAGGCAGCAGUAGGGAAUCUUCCGCAAUGGGCGAAAGCUUGACGGAGCAACGCCGCGUGAGUGAUGAAGGUCUUCGGAUCGUAAAACUCUGUUAUUAGGGAAGAACAAAUGUGUAAGUAACUAUGCACGUCUUGACGGUACCUAAUCAGAAAGCCACGGCUAACUACGUG